rnacentral:rRNA from 1 species
GGGUUGUGAGGUUAAGCGACUAAGCGUACACGGUGGAUGCCCUGGCAGUCAGAGGCGAUGAAGGACGUGCUAAUCUGCGAUAAGCGUCGGUAAGGUGAUAUGAACCGUUAUAACCGGCGAUUUCCGAAUGGGGAAACCCAGUGUGAUUCGUCACACUAUCAUUAACUGAAUCCAUAGGUUAAUGAGGCGAACCGGGGGAACUGAAACAUCUAAGUACCCCGAGGAAAAGAAAUCAACCGAGAUUCCCCCAGUAGCGGCGAGCGAACGGGGAGCAGCCCAGAGCCUGAAUCAGUGUGUGUGUUAGUGGAAGCGUCUGGAAAGGCGUGCGAUACAGGGUGACAGCCCCGUACACAAAAAUGCACAUACUGUGAGCUCGAUGAGUAGGGCGGGACACGUGGUAUCCUGUCUGAAUAUGGGGGGACCAUCCUCCAAGGCUAAAUACUCCUGACUGACCGAUAGUGAACCAGUACCGUGAGGGAAAGGCGAAAAGAACCCCGGCGAGGGGAGUGAAAAAGAACCUGAAACCGUGUACGUACAAGCAGUGGGAGCACAGAGCAAUCUGUGUGACUGCGUACCUUUUGUAUAAUGGGUCAGCGACUUAUAUUCUGUAGCAAGGUUAACCGAAUAGGGGAGCCGAAGGGAAACCGAGUCUUAACUGGGCGUUAAGUUGCAGGGUAUAGACCCGAAACCCGGUGAUCUAGCCAUGGGCAGGUUGAAGGUUGGGUAACACUAACUGGAGGACCGAACCGACUAAUGUUGAAAAAUUAGCGGAUGACUUGUGGCUGGGGGUGAAAGGCCAAUCAAACCGGGAGAUAGCUGGUUCUCCCCGAAAGCUAUUUAGGUAGCGCCUCGUGAAUUCAUCUCCGGGGGUAGAGCACUGUUUCGGCAAGGGGGUCAUCCCGACUUACCAACCCGAUGCAAACUGCGAAUACCGGAGAAUGUUAUCACGGGAGACACACGGCGGGUGCUAACGUCCGUCGUGAAGAGGGAAACAACCCAGACCGCCAGCUAAGGUCCCAAAGUCAUGGUUAAGUGGGAAACGAUGUGGGAAGGCCCAGACAGCCAGGAUGUUGGCUUAGAAGCAGCCAUCAUUUAAAGAAAGCGUAAUAGCUCACUGGUCGAGUCGGCCUGCGCGGAAGAUGUAACGGGGCUAAACCAUGCACCGAAGCUGCGGCAGCGACGCUUAUGCGUUGUUGGGUAGGGGAGCGUUCUGUAAGCCUGCGAAGGUGUGCUGUGAGGCAUGCUGGAGGUAUCAGAAGUGCGAAUGCUGACAUAAGUAACGAUAAAGCGGGUGAAAAGCCCGCUCGCCGGAAGACCAAGGGUUCCUGUCCAACGUUAAUCGGGGCAGGGUGAGUCGACCCCUAAGGCGAGGCCGAAAGGCGUAGUCGAUGGGAAACAGGUUAAUAUUCCUGUACUUGGUGUUACUGCGAAGGGGGGACGGAGAAGGCUAUGUUGGCCGGGCGACGGUUGUCCCGGUUUAAGCGUGUAGGCUGGUUUUCCAGGCAAAUCCGGAAAAUCAAGGCUGAGGCGUGAUGACGAGGCACUACGGUGCUGAAGCAACAAAUGCCCUGCUUCCAGGAAAAGCCUCUAAGCAUCAGGUAACAUCAAAUCGUACCCCAAACCGACACAGGUGGUCAGGUAGAGAAUACCAAGGCGCUUGAGAGAACUCGGGUGAAGGAACUAGGCAAAAUGGUGCCGUAACUUCGGGAGAAGGCACGCUGAUAUGUAGGUGAAGUCCCUCGCGGAUGGAGCUGAAAUCAGUCGAAGAUACCAGCUGGCUGCAACUGUUUAUUAAAAACACAGCACUGUGCAAACACGAAAGUGGACGUAUACGGUGUGACGCCUGCCCGGUGCCGGAAGGUUAAUUGAUGGGGUCAGCGCAAGCGAAGCUCUUGAUCGAAGCCCCGGUAAACGGCGGCCGUAACUAUAACGGUCCUAAGGUAGCGAAAUUCCUUGUCGGGUAAGUUCCGACCUGCACGAAUGGCGUAAUGAUGGCCAGGCUGUCUCCACCCGAGACUCAGUGAAAUUGAACUCGCUGUGAAGAUGCAGUGUACCCGCGGCAAGACGGAAAGACCCCGUGAACCUUUACUAUAGCUUGACACUGAACAUUGAGCCUUGAUGUGUAGGAUAGGUGGGAGGCUUGGAAGUGUGGACGCCAGUCUGCAUGGAGCCGACCUUGAAAUACCACCCUUUAAUGUUUGAUGUUCUAACGUUGACCCGUAAUCCGGGUUGCGGACAGUGUCUGGUGGGUAGUUUGACUGGGGCGGUCUCCUCCUAAAGAGUAACGGAGGAGCACGAAGGUUGGCUAAUCCUGGUCGGACAUCAGGAGGUUAGUGCAAUGGCAUAAGCCAGCUUGACUGCGAGCGUGACGGCGCGAGCAGGUGCGAAAGCAGGUCAUAGUGAUCCGGUGGUUCUGAAUGGAAGGGCCAUCGCUCAACGGAUAAAAGGUACUCCGGGGAUAACAGGCUGAUACCGCCCAAGAGUUCAUAUCGACGGCGGUGUUUGGCACCUCGAUGUCGGCUCAUCACAUCCUGGGGCUGAAGUAGGUCCCAAGGGUAUGGCUGUUCGCCAUUUAAAGUGGUACGCGAGCUGGGUUUAGAACGUCGUGAGACAGUUCGGUCCCUAUCUGCCGUGGGCGCUGGAGAACUGAGGGGGGCUGCUCCUAGUACGAGAGGACCGGAGUGGACGCAUCACUGGUGUUCGGGUUGUCAUGCCAAUGGCACUGCCCGGUAGCUAAAUGCGGAAGAGAUAAGUGCUGAAAGCAUCUAAGCACGAAACUUGCCCCGAGAUGAGUUCUCCCUGACUCCUUGAGAGUCCUGAAGGAACGUUGAAGACGACGACGUUGAUAGGCCGGGUGUGUAAGCGCAGCGAUGCGUUGAGCUAACCGGUACUAAUGAACCGUGAGGCUUAACCUUACAACGCCGAAG